UACGUAGGGGGCAAGCGUUGUCCGGAUUUAUUGGGCGUAAAGAGCGUGUAGGCGGUUUGGUAGGUCCGUUGUGAAAACUCGAGGCUCAACCUCGAGACGCCGGCGGAAACCAUCAGGCUAGAGUCCGGAAGAGGAGAGUGGAAUUCCCGGUGUAGCGGUGAAAUGCGCAGAUAUCAGGAAGAACACCCGUGGCGAAGGCGGCUCUCUAGUACGGUACUGACGCUGAGACGCGAAAGCGUGGGGAGCGAACAGG
rnacentral:rRNA from 1 species